CAUUUAAUAAGAUAGGAAAGGCGGUGAUAAACUAAGGUAAUAUUUGGCCCCUUGAAUUCUGAGAUUAAAAGGGAUCAUAACUAUAUAAAUGAAUGUCUAUCAAAUAUGUAUCUAUCAUUGUGUAUCUCCUUGAUUUUAAGACUGAAAAAUUUAAACUUCUUCACUAAUAUAUUUAUUCAUUCAUUUUCGUUUGAAAUAUUGUUUUUAAUGCUAAAGUAUAAGCCACAACCUCAC
rnacentral:lncRNA from 1 species